rnacentral:rRNA from 1 species
AACGAACGCUGGCGGCAGGCUUAACACAUGCAAGUCGAACGAUAAGCUCUCUUCGGAGAGUGGACAGUGGCAGACGGGUGAGUAACGCGUAGCAACCUACCUAGUAGUACGGAAUAACGCUUAGAAAUGAGUGCUAAUACCGUAUACGCCCUUUUGGGGAAAGAUUCAUCGCUAUUAGAUGGGGCUGCGUUAGAUUAGCUAGUUGGUGAGGUAAGAGCUCACCAAGGCGACGAUCUAUAGCGGGUCUGAGAGGAUGAUCCGCCACACUGGGACUGAGACACGGCCCAG